GGUCGCUCCAAGUGCAGUGGCAUUUAUAAUUAAUUGAUCACAACUAGUUAUAGAUUCCUUUGUUCCUUCUCCAUUCCCACUGCUUCACUCGACCAGAA
rnacentral:Y_RNA from 1 species